rnacentral:rRNA from 2 species
UGGGGAAUAUUGCACAAUGGGCGCAAGCCUGAUGCAGCGACGCCGCGUGAAGGAUGAAGGUCUUCGGAUUGUAAACUUCUAUCAGCAGGGAAGAAUAAAUGACGGUACCUGACUAAGAAGCUCCGGCUAACUACGUGCCAGCAGCCGCGGUAAUACGUAGGGAGCGAGCGUUAUCCGGAUUUACUGGGUGUAAAGGGUGCGUAGGCGGUUUGGUAAGUCAGAAGUGAAAUUUUGGGGCUCAACCUCAGAGCUGCUUCUGAAACUGCUGAACUAGAGUGUGGGAGAGGAAAGUGGAAUUCCGAGUGUAGCGGUGAAAUGCGUAGAGAUUCGGAGGAACACCAGUAGCGAAGGCGGCUUUCUGGACCAUAACUGACGCUGAGGCACGAAAGCGUGGGGAGCAAACAGG